ensembl:lincRNA Gm35299 predicted gene, 35299
GGAAAGAGAGAGGCCUGUCUGACCUUGGGUACACACCUAGCAAAAGGCAUAAGGUCAGCCAUAUAGUUGGUUAAGCCUUGCAUCCCACACCAUGCCACAGUGGAUGGCAAGAGAAAUCUUGUAUAAAGGGGCUUCUUGUUGACAGUCCUGAUCUCUAUCCCAGAGACACAGUGAAGAGGAGUAGAGGCCAGCUAUGAGCACGUGGAGAGAGAAGAGGAGGGGGUUUCGGAGAGGGAAGAAGGGGCGAGAGAUUCACCUACAUCAGUCAAAGUCCUCCCUUGAGGAUCACCAUGUGGAAGCUCUGGGGAUUUCACAACCAGCGCAGUGAACUCCAGAUGAACUCGGAUGAUCCUUUUUUUUCCUAAUCCAGCAGCCAGGAGACAGUGAAGGGGCACUGCUGUGGGCAUGAGUACAAAGUUCU